GCCGCUUUAGCUCAGCUGGUAGAGCGGCUGAUUCGUAAUCAGCAGGUAGUCAGUUCAAGUCUGACAAGCGGCUCCA
rnacentral:tRNA from 1 species